rnacentral:rRNA from 1 species
UACGUAGGGGGCAAGCGUUGUCCGGAUUUAUUGGGCGUAAAGAGCGUGUAGGCGGCCUGAUAGGUCGGUUGUGAAAACUGGAGGCUUAACCUUCAGACGUCGGCCGAAACCAUCUGGCUAGAGUCCGGAAGAGGAGAGUGGAAUUCCUGGUGUAGCGGUGAAAUGCGCAGAUAUCAGGAAGAACACCCGUGGCUAAGGCGGCUCUCUAGUACGGUACUGACGCUGAGACGCGAAAGCGUGGGGAGCGAACAGG